rnacentral:tRNA from 2 species
GGGGGUAUUGCCCAGCGGUAGAGCACACGCUUAACAUGCGUGAGGUCCUGGGUUCGAUGCCCAGCACUUCCA